UACACGCAUGACACACUGCAUAUCAAUAAGCGGAGGAAAAGAAACUAACUAGGAUUCCCCUAGUAACGGCGAGUGAAGCGGGAAGAGCUCAAAUUUGAAAUCUUCAAGGUUCUACCUUGACGAAUUGUAGUUUAUAAGAAGUGUUUUCUGUUAGUGGAGUGGCUAAGAGUUCUUUGGAAGUAGGACAUCAUAGAGGGUGAGAAUCCCGUAUUUGGUCAUUCCUCCUAGCUGUUGUGAUACACUUUCAACGAGUCGGAUUGUUUGGGAAUGCAGUCCAAAAUGGGUGGUAAAUUUCAUCUAAAGCUAAAUAUUGGCGAGAGACCGAUAGCGAACAAGUACCGUGAGGGGAAAGAUGAAAAGAACUUUGAAAAGAGAGUUAAACAGUACGUGAAAUUGUCAAAAGGGAAGCGUUUGACACCAGUGUUGUUUAGUUGAAAAUCAAUUCAAUAAUUUUUGAUUUUGAGUAGUAUUGACUUCAUCAGCUUGCUGCUUUCUUUUCCGAAAUUAUUGAGUGCACUUUUCAGUUAACAAGUCAACAUCAAUUUCUUUUGUUGUAAAAGGGUAAGAGGAAGGUGGCUUACGCUUCGGCGUAAGUGUUUAUAGCCUUUUACCUCUGCAAUCGGAGAGAUUGAGGACAGCAGCGUAGACUCCUUCGGGGGUUAGAUACACUUGUGCUAAGCUAUAGCCUUGUAUAGACAACUUGUUGACUAUGCUCAGUCAUGUAGCUUACUCGCUUGUGCUAUUUUACCUACGCUUAGGAUGUUGACUGAUAUGUAGUCGUA
rnacentral:rRNA from 1 species